rnacentral:rRNA from 1 species
UAGUCAAUGAUCUAAACGAUUGAUCUAGUUACUUAGUAAGAUGAGUUAUCCAAAUAAAAAAAAAAUAUGUAUUUAUUUUAUUUUAAUAAAAAAUUAUAUCAAAUUAUAAUCAUACCCCUAGCCCUCAGUCAUUGGCUGAGGGCGAGGGGGGGAGGAGUUUGAGAAUAAAAAAUGAAAAGGAUAAUAGUGAAAAAAAUAAAAUCUUAAUUAUAGAUUAAAUAAUGAUAUGAUCUAUAAUGAUAGUCUUAACCAAAAGUAGUGCCAGCAGUUGCGGUUAUACUACGAAGGCUAACGUUAAUCAUUAAGGCUUAAAGGAUCCGUAGAAUGAUAAAAAUUAUUAGAGUUUAUGUUGAGAUUAAAGAAUAAUUAUAGUAAAGAUGAAAUAAUAAUGAUAAUAAUUAGACUGCUUCAGGUGAAGACAUUAAUCAAGAAAUAAACUGACAUUGAGGGAUGAAAGCAUAAGUAGCAAAACGGAUUAGAUACCCGAUUAGUUUAUGCAGUAAACGAUGAAUACUGUUAGGCUAUUUAAUUAAUAUAUAUAGUUUAAUAAGCGAAAGCAUAAGUAUUCCGCCCGGUGUGUACGUUCGCAAGAAUGAAAGCCAAGACAAUAGACGGUUACAGAUUAAG